UACGUAGGGUGCGAGCGUUGUCCGGAAUUACUGGGCGUAAAGAGCUCGUAGGUGGUUUGUCGCGUUGUUCGUGAAAACCGGGGGCUUAACCCUCGGCGUGCGGGCGAUACGGGCAGACUUGAGUACUGCAGGGGAGACUGGAAUUCCUGGUGUAGCGGUGGAAUGCGCAGAUAUCAGGAGGAACACCGGUGGCGAAGGCGGUUCUCUGGGAAUAUCCUGACGCUGAGGAGCGGAAGUGUGGGGAGCGAACAGG
rnacentral:rRNA from 1 species